ensembl:rRNA 5S_rRNA 5S ribosomal RNA
GUCUAUGACCAUGCUACACUGAACAAGCCUGAUCCGGUCUGAUCUUGGAAGCUAAGCAGCCUCGGGCCUGGUUAGUACCUGGAUGGGAGACCACCUAAAAAGACCAGGUGCUGUAGGUG